rnacentral:lncRNA from 11 species
CAGUCCCCCUUUUCCCCCACCGGGGGGCGCCUUUCCCCCUUGGCUCUCCCCCCUCCCUCCCUUAUCUUCCUCCUCCUCCUCCUCCUCCUCCUCCUCGCUGCUGCUUUUGCCGGGCGCCGGAUCGCGUCUCCUCUGCUACGGAUCGUCCUGGCGGAGAGCCUCUUUCCCGGGGCUUGGAAGGAAGGAAGGAAAGAAGGAGGAAGGCAGGGGGGAAGGAAGAGCCCCGGGGGGCACCCCAGAAGACCCUCAGAUGUCCGCCUGUGUGUGUUUUACGACUUCCAAGCUGGCAGUGAGGUUUUGCUGGACUCCUUUGAUGAGGUCAGGCCAAGCGUUUCAUGGAACGUGUUAACAAUCCUGCGAAGUGCAUGGUGUCCAAGAAGGAGCGGUAAGUCCCUGACGGUGCGCUCUUUCACAUGUCGAUGCUUCUCCAUUACACUUCUGAUGCCUCACACUCGAGCGCUGCAGUCCCACCGGUGUUGACUCUUGGAGCACAGUUCCUGACAGAUUUAUGGCCUAACAGUUCCGGGAUUAAUAGCCCCAUAACAAAGGUGUGAUUCACUCUCAUUCACUAAUGGGCUCCGGUGAAUCCAGGGGACUCAUUUGGAGAAAGUCAU